rnacentral:rRNA from 1 species
AUUGAACGCUGGCGGCAUGCCUUAAACAUGCAAGUCGAACGGCAGCACGGGAGCAAUCCUGGUGGCGAGUGGCGAACGGGUGAGUAAAGUAUCGGAACGUGCCCAGUCGUGGGGGAUAACGUAGCGAAAGUUAAGCUAAUACCGCAUACGAUCUAUGGAUGAAAGCGGGGGAUCGCAAGACCUCGCGCGAUUGGAGCGGCCGAUAUCAGAUUAGGUAGUUGGUGGGGUAACGGCUCACCAAGCCGACGAUCUGUAGCUGGUCUGAGAGGACGACCAGCCACACUGGGAUUGAGACACGGCCCAGACUCCUACGGGAGGCAGCAGUGGGGAAUUUUGGACAAUGGGCGAAAGCCUGAUCCAGCCAUGCCGCGUGCAGGAUGAAGGCCUUCGGGUUGUAAACUGCUUUUGUACGGAACGAAAAGGUUUGGCCUAAUAAGCUGAGCUCAUGACGGUACCGUAAGAAUAAGCACCGGCUAACUACGUGCCAGCCGCCGCCGUAA